rnacentral:snoRNA from 1 species
AUGCCAGCCAAUUAAUCUGCUUAUCUGAAUGUGUUUCUGCAAAGAUUUAGAAAAAGCUGGCAAUAGUGAUGCCAGUUGAUCACUGCUUUUCAGAUUCUAGUGAUGGUAUAAGGU